rnacentral:rRNA from 2 species
GAGUUCUCGUUGAUGAUCGGUGCUUGCACCGAGAUUCAACAUGGAACGAGUGGCGGACGGGUGAGUAACACGUGGGUAACCUGCCCUUAAGUGGGGGAUAACAUUUGGAAACAGAUGCUAAUACCGCAUAGAUCCAAGAACCGCAUGGUUCUUGGCUGAAAGAUGGCGUAAGCUAUCGCUUUUGGAUGGACCCGCGGCGUAUUAGCUAGUUGGUGAGGUAAUGGCUCACCAAGGCGAUGAUACGUAGCCGAACUGAGAGGUUGAUCGGCCACAUUGGGACUGAGACACGGCCCAAACUCCUACGGGAGGCAGCAGUAGGGAAUCUUCCACAAUGGACGCAAGUCUGAUGGAGCAACGCCGCGUGAGUGAAGAAGGCUUUCGGGUCGUAAAACUCUGUUGUUUGAGAAGAAUGGUCGGCAGAGUAACUGUUGUCGGCGUGACGGUAUCCAACCAGAAAGUCUUUUUUUCUCCCCCCCCGCCAGCAGCCGCGGUAAUACGUAGGUGGCAAGCGUUAUCCGGAUUUAUUGGGCGUAAAGCGAGCGCAGGCGGUUUUUUAAGUCUGAUGUGAAAGCCCUCGGCUUAACCGAGGAAGCGCAUCGGAAACUGGGAAACUUGAGUGCAGAAGAGGACAGUGGAACUCCAUGUGUAGCGGUGAAAUGCGUAGAUAUAUGGAAGAACACCAGUGGCGAAGGCGGGUGUCUGGUCUGAAACUGACGCUGAGGCUCGAAAGCAUGGUAGCGAACAAGGAUUAGAUACCCUGGUAAGUCCAUGCCGUAAACGAUGAUGCUAGGUGUUGGAGGGUUUCCGCCCUUCA